rnacentral:rRNA from 1 species
AUGAUCCAGCUUGAUCUAAUAGAUAGGAAGAAUAAAUCUGAAUGGAGUAUUCUAGUGGUGUAUGGCCCAGCUCAUGAGGAGAUGAGGGAGGAGUUCCUGCUGGAACUUGCUCAAUUCUGUUCUAAUAUGAACAAACCCUACAUAGUUGGGGGAGACUUUAACAUCUUGAGGCAUGGUGGAGAGAAGAAUAAAAAAUUACAUGGACAUUCUAUGGACAUGUUCAAAUCUGUCAUUAAUGCAUAUGGCCUGAGGGAGAUUUAUUGUAGUGGAGGGAAAUAUACUUGGACAAAUAACCAGACCCACCCCACUUUGGAAAAGCUAGACAGGAUUUUGAUGUCUAGCGACUGGGAAAACUUAUACCCAUUGGUAACUGUUAGAAAGCUGGUUAGAGAGUUAUCUGACCAUAACCCCCUACUCCUUUCCUCAGGAGACAUGGGCAGGGAGGCACAUAAACCUAGGGAGUUCAGGUUUGAUCUGGCCUGGUUUAAAACUGAGGACUUUCUACCCUUAGUGGAGAAAAUCUGGAAUAAAGCGGUUAAAGCUGAAGAUCCUAUUGAUAUUCUUAAUAUCAAACUAAAAAGGUUUAAAACCUUCUUCAAAGGGUGGGGGUCCAAUAAGUACGGCCAUACCAAGAAAAGAAAAGAAGAAUUAAGAGUAGAAUUGUCCACUCUUGAGGAGCUUGAAGAGGAGGGACCUCUGACCCCUGAGAUGUAUAGUAGAAAGGUGGAUAUUAAUUUUGAGCUUCAUGAGAUUCUGGUGAAUGAGGAGAUUUUCUGGCUGCAACAAUCCCAUGAGCGUUGGCUGCUCAAAGGGGAUUUGAACACAGAUUACUUUCAUAAAAUUGCAAAUGGGCGAAAAAGGAAGAAUACCAUUCAUGCCCUCAAGUAUGGUGAUGUUGAGAUAGAAGGUACUGAUAACCUUAUCUCACAUGCCACAGAGUUCUAUAAAACCCUAUUCGGCGCAGCCCCGGGCAACUUGUUUCACAUGGACCCUGGCUCGUGGGAUGAAUCAAAAAAACUCACUCAAGAGGAUAAUAUUGAUCUGACUAGAACCUUCUCAGAAGAGGAGGUGAAAGAGGCCUUGUUUGCAAUGGAUGUUAAUAGAGCACCUGGCCCCGAUAACAUUCCUGCGGAGUUUUACCAACAUUGCUGGAACAUUGUUAAAAGUGACAUUAUGCGGCUGUUCAGCCACUUCCAUGCUGGAACGCUUGACGUGCAGCGCCUUAAUUAUGGGGUGAUUACUCUUCUCCCUAAAGUGUCAGGUGCAGAUCGCAUUCAGCAAUUUCGGCCUAUUGUCUCCUUAGGUGCCCAUAUAGACUGA